rnacentral:rRNA from 1 species
UACGUAGGUGGCAAGCGUUGUCCGGAAUUACUGGGCGUAAAGCGUGCGCAGGCGGUUCGUUAAGUCAGAUGUGAAAGCCCCGGGCUCAACCUGGGAACUGCAUUUGAAACUGGCGGGCUUGAGUAUGGCAGAGGGGGGUGGAAUUCCGCGUGUAGCAGUGAAAUGCGUAGAGAUGCGGAGGAACACCGAUGGCGAAGGCAGCCCCCUGGGCCAAUACUGACGCUCAGGCACGAAAGCGUGGGGAGCAAACAGG